rnacentral:rRNA from 1 species
AGGUUACUGCUAUCGGUGUUCGCCCAAGCCAUGCGAGUCAUAUGUUCUUCGUGAACAUGGCGUACUGCUCAGUAACACGUGGAUAACCUGCCCUUGGGUCCGGCAUAACCCCGGGAAACUGGGGAUAAUUCCGGAUAACGCACAUAUGCUGGAAUGCUUUAUGCGUCAAAUGGAUUCGUCCGCCCAAGGAUGGGUCUGCGGCCUAUCAGGUAGUAGUGGGUGUAAUGUACCUACUAGCCUACGACGGGUACGGGCUGUGAGAGCAAGAGCCCGGAGAUGGAUUCUGAGACAUGAAUCCAGGCCCUACGGGGCGCAGCAGGCGCGAAAACUUUACAAUGCGGGAAACCGUGAUAAGGGGACACCGAGUGCCAGCAUCAUAUGCUGGCUGUCCGGGUGUGUAAAAUACACCUGUUAGCAAGGGCCGGGCAAGACCGGUGCCAGCCGCCGCGGUAACACCGGCGGCCCGAGUGGUGAUCGUGAUUAUUGGGUCUAAAGGGUCCGUAGCCGGUUUGGUCAGUCCUCCGGGAAAUCUGACGGCUUAACCGUUAGGCUUUCGGGGGAUACUGCCAGACUUGGAACCGGGAGAGGUAAGAGGUACUACAGGGGUAGGAGUGAAAUCUUGUAAUCCCUGUGGGACCACCUGUGGCGAAGGCGUCUUACCAGAACGGGUUCGACGGUGAGGGACGAAAGCUGGGGGCACGAACCGGAUUAGAUACCCGGGUAGUCCCAGCCGUAAACGAUGCUCGCUAGGUGUCAGGCAUGGCGCGACCGUGUCUGGUGCCGCAGGGAAGCCGUGAAGCGAGCCACCUGGGAAGUACGGCCGCAAGGCUGAAACUUAA